CACAAAUCUAUUAAUCUGGCGUGAGUUUUUGUUCGUUUGAAGGAUUUGGACGUUUGGGUAUCCAUCAGCAACUGGAAGUCUGAAAUAAUCACCAGUUUGUGUAGUUAUCGUGGUGAAAAAGAUGGGGCUCUGGUUUGAACUAAGAAAUCUGCGUGUAAAAUAAUGGAGUACGAUGAACCAAUCAAGUUGAUGGAGAAGGACGGAUCGUUGUUUAGUCAACUGGUGAAAGAAUAUUGGUCACAUGUCCAUUCUGCAGGAGGGUAGGCCAAUGAUAUUCUCUAUGAGCAACAAAAUAAAAGGGAG